CAGAGGUGGCAAGCGUUGUUCGGAAUUACUGGGCGUAAAGGGCGCGUAGGCAGCCUUCUAAGUCAGACGUGAAAUCCCCAGGCUUAACUUGGGAACUGCGUCUGAUACUGGAGGGCUCGAGUGCGGGAGAGGGAUGUGGAAUUCCAGGUGUAGCGGUGAAAUGCGUAGAUAUCUGGAGGAACACCGGUGGCGAAGGCGGCAUCCUGGACCGACACUGACGCUGAGGCGCGAAAGCUAGGGAAGCAAACGGGAUUAGAUACCCCGGUAGUCCUAGCCCUAAACGAUGAGUGCUUGGUGUGGCGGGUAUCGAUCCCUGCCGUGCCGAAGCUAACGCAUUAAGCACUCCGCCUGGGGAGUACGGUCGCAAGGCUG
rnacentral:rRNA from 1 species